rnacentral:rRNA from 1 species
CUUAGGCGUGUGACUGCGUACCUUUUGUAUAAUGGGUCAGCGACUUAUAUUCUGUAGCAAGGUUAACCGAAUAGGGGAGCCGAAGGGAAACCGAGUCUUAACUGGGCGUUAAGUUGCAGGGUAUAGACCCGAAACCCGGUGAUCUAGCCAUGGGCAGGUUGAAGGUUGGGUAACACUAACUGGAGGACCGAACCGACUAAUGUUGAAAAAUUAGCGGAUGACUUGUGGCUGGGGGUGAAAGGCCAAUCAAACCGGGAGAUAGCUGGUUCUCCCCGAAAGCUAUUUAGGUAGCGCCUCGUGAAUUCAUCUCCGGGGGUAGAGCACUGUUUCGGCAAGGGGGUCAUCCCGACUUACCAACCCGAUGCAAACUGCGAAUACCGGAGAAUGUUAUCACGGGAGACACACGGCGGGUGCUAACGUCCGUCGUGAAGAGGGAAACAACCCAGACCGCCAGCUAAGGUCCCAAAGUCAUGGUUAAGUGGGAAACGAUGUGGGAAGGCCCAGACAGCCAGGAUGUUGGCUUAGAAGCAGCCAUCAUUUAAAGAAAGCGUAAUAGCUCACUGGUCGAGUCGGCCUGCGCGGAAGAUGUAACGGGGCUAAACCAUGCACCGAAGCUGCGGCAGCGACGCUUAUGCGUUGUUGGGUAGGGGAGCGUUCUGUAAGCCUGUGAAGGUGUGCUGUGAGGCAUGCUGGAGGUAUCAGAAGUGCGAAUGCUGACAUAAGUAACGAUAAAGCGGGUGAAAAGCCCGCUCGCCGGAAGACCAAGGGUUCCUGUCCAACGUUAAUCGGGGCAGGGUGAGUCGACCCCUAAGGCGAGGCCGAAAGGCGUAGUCGAUGGGAAACAGGUUAAUAUUCCUGUACUUGGUGUUACUGCGAAGGGGGGACGGAGAAGGCUAUGUUGGCCGGGCGACGGUUGUCCCGGUUUAAGCGUGUAGGCUGGUUUUCCAGGCAAAUCCGGAAAAUCAAGGCUGAGGCGUGAUGACGAGGCACUACGGUGCUGAAGCAACAAAUGCCCUGCUUCCAGGAAAAGCCUCUAAGCAUCAGGUAACAUCAAAUCGUACCCCAAACCGACACAGGUGGUCAGGUAGAGAAUACCAAGGCGCUUGAGAGAACUCGGGUGAAGGAACUAGGCAAAAUGGUGCCGUAACUUCGGGAGAAGGCACGCUGAUAUGUAGGUGAAGUCCCUCGCGGAUGGAGCUGAAAUCAGUCGAAGAUACCAGCUGGCUGCAACUGUUUAUUAAAAACACAGCACUGUGCAAACACGAAAGUGGACGUAUACGGUGUGACGCCUGCCCGGUGCCGGAAGGUUAAUUGAUGGGGUUAGCGCAAGCGAAGCUCUUGAUCGAAGCCCCGGUAAACGGCGGCCGUAACUAUAACGGUCCUAAGGUAGCGAAAUUCCUUGUCGGGUAAGUUCCGACCUGCACGAAUGGCGUAAUGAUGGCCAGGCUGUCUCCACCCGAGACUCAGUGAAAUUGAACUCGCUGUGAAGAUGCAGUGUACCCGCGGCAAGACGGAAAGACCCCGUGAACCUUUACUAUAGCUUGACACUGAACAUUGAGCCUUGAUGUGUAGGAUAGGUGGGAGGCUUUGAAGUGUGGACGCCAGUCUGCAUGGAGCCGACCUUGAAAUACCACCCUUUAAUGUUUGAUGUUCUAACGUUGACCCGUAAUCCGGGUUGCGGACAGUGUCUGGUGGGUAGUUUGACUGGGGCGGUCUCCUCCUAAAGAGUAACGGAGGAGCACGAAGGUUGGCUAAUCCUGGUCGGACAUCAGGAGGUUAGUGCAAUGGCAUAAGCCAGCUUGACUGCGAGCGUGACGGCGCGAGCAGGUGCGAAAGCAGGUCAUAGUGAUCCGGUGGUUCUGAAUGGAAGGGCCAUCGCUCAACGGAUAAAAGGUACUCCGGGGAUAACAGGCUGAUACCGCCCAAGAGUUCAUAUCGACGGCGGUGUUUGGCACCUCGAUGUCGGCUCAUCACAUCCUGGGGCUGAAGUAGGUCCCAAGGGUAUGGCUGUUCGCCAUUUAAAGUGGUACGCGAGCUGGGUUUAGAACGUCGUGAGACAGUUCGGUCCCUAUCUGCCGUGGGCGCUGGAGAACUGAGGGGGGCUGCUCCUAGUACGAGAGGACCGGAGUGGACGCAUCACUGGUGUUCGGGUUGUCAUGCCAAUGGCACUGCCCGGUAGCUAAAUGCGGAAGAGAUAAGUGCUGAAAGCAUCUAAGCACGAAACUUGCCCCGAGAUGAGUUCUCCCUGACUCCUUGAGAGUCCUGAAGGAACGUUGAAGACGACGACGUUGAUAGGCCGGGUGUGUAAGCGCAGCGAUGCGUUGAGCUAACCGGUACUAAUGAACCGUGAG